GGCUCAGGAUGAACGCUAGCGGCGCGCUUAACGCAUGCAAGUCGAGCGAUGAGGCUCCCUUCGGGGGGUACAUCAGCGGCAGACGGGUGAGUAACACGUAGGUAACCUGCCCUCAAGACGGGGAUAACGCCUGGAAACGGGCGCUAAUACCGGAUGACCUUGGUCGGGGAAGCUCCGGCUAAGGAAAGGCUUUGGCGCUUGAGGAGGGGCCUGCGGCCCAUCAGUUAGUUGGUAGGGUAACGGCCUACCAAGGCGAAGACGGGUAGGGGGUGUGAGAGCACGGCCCCCCACACUGGGACUGAGACACGGCCCAGACUCCUACGGGAGGCAGCAGCGGGGAAUAUUGCGCAAUGGACGGAAGUCAGACGCAGCGACGCCGCGUGGGUGAAGAAGGCCUUCGGGUUGUAAAGCCCUUUUCUGUGGGAAGAGGAAGGACGGUACCAUAGGAAUAAGCGUCGGCUAACUACGUGCCAGCAGCCGCGGUAAGACGUAGGACGCGAGCGUUAUCCGGAUUUACUGGGCGUAAAGCGUGUGUAGGCGGCGUGACAAGUUGGGCGUGAAAGCCCCGUGCUCAACGCGGGGAGGCCGCACAAUACUGUCAGGCUAGAGGGCAUCAGAGGGGUGUGGAAUUCCCGGAGUAGCGGUAAAAUGCGCAGAUAUCGGGAGGAGCACCGGUGGCGAAAGCGGCACCCUGGGGUGCACCUGACGCUGAGAGACGACAGCUAGGGGAGCGAACAGGAUUAGAGACCCUGGUAGUCCUAGCCGUAAACGAUGGAUGCUAGGUGUGGGAGUGAAGAACUUCUGUGCCGCAGCGAACGCGAUAAGCAUCCCGCCUGGGGAGUACGGCCGCAAGGUUUAAACUCAAACGAAUUGACGGGGACCCGCACAAGCAGCGGGAGCGUGUGGUUUAUUCGAUGCUAC
rnacentral:rRNA from 1 species